rnacentral:tmRNA from 1 species
GAACUAUAAUUGGCGAAUCUAAUUUUGCCAUGGCUGCCUAAUCUCGACUCAGAGUUGAGGUUACAGGCUUAAUUGGUUUACCCGUUAGACGGGUACCAGGCCACAUCUCACCGGAUUUCGUUUUGUUGGUCCGGAGUUGAGGUGUCGAUAAAGCAAAACUGGCCUUUAGCUGGCUGCUUGUUAAAGGUGAGACUCUAUGCAGCUAAGGGAAAUCGUUGGCUUGUUUCCGGCCGGUCUUCCUCGAAAACCUAAAGUGAAACUAAGCAUGUAGAAGGUAUAUGAUUUCCUUAUCUGGACCAGGGUUCGAAUCCCUGCGACUCCACUC